rnacentral:misc_RNA from 1 species
UCGCGGCUUAUCACCGGCAGUCUCCUUAGAGUGCUCAACUAAAUGGUAGCAACUAAGGACGGGGGUUGCGCUCGUUGCGGGACUUAACCCAACGUCUCACGACACGAGCUGACGACAGCCAUGCAGCACCUGUCUCCGGUCCAGCCGAACUGAAGACAUCCAUCUCUGGAAAUCGCGAUGAGGAUGUCAAACGCUGGUAAGGUUCUGCGCGUUGCUUCGAAUUAAACCACAUGCUCCACCGCUUGUGCAGGCCCCCGUCAAUUCCUUUGAGUUUUAGCCUUGCGGCCGUACUCCCCAGGCGGGGCACUUAAUGCGUUAGCUACGGCACGGAGUCCGUUGAAUAGACCCCACACCUAGUGCCCAACGUUUACGGCGUGGACUAC